GAAAGGGCUGUAGAUCAGUGGCAGGGCAUCUGCUAGGCAUGUAGAAGUUCCCAGGUUUAAUUCCUGGCAUCUUCA